rnacentral:rRNA from 1 species
GUGGGGAAUUUUGGACAAUGGGGGCAACCCUGAUCCAGCCAUUCCGCGUGAGUGAAGAAGGCCUUCGGGUUGUAAAGCUCUUUCGGCCGGGAAGAAAUCGCAUCUCCUAAUACGGGGUGUGGAUGACGGUACCGGAAGAAGAAGCACCGGCUAACUACGUGCCAGCAGCCGCGGUAAUACGUAGGGUGCGAGCGUUAAUCGGAAUUACUGGGCGUAAAGCGUGCGCAGGCGGUUGUGCAAGACAGAUGUGAAAUCCCCGGGCUUAACCUGGGAAUGGCAUUUGUGACUGCACGGCUAGAGUGUGUCAGAGGGGGGUAGAAUUCCACGUGUAGCAGUGAAAUGCGUAGAUAUGUGGAGGAAUACCGAUGGCGAAGGCAGCCCCCUGGGCCUGCACUGACGCUCACGCACGAAAGCGUGGGGAGCAAACAGGAUUAGAUACCCUUGUAGUCC